CCUCUCCUUCUAAAGUUAGUG
rnacentral:siRNA from 1 species